GGGAGGCAGCAGUGGGGAAUAUUGCGCAAUGGGGGAAACCCUGACGCAGCCAUGCCGCGUGAGUGACGAAGGCCUUAGGGUUGUAAAGCUUUUUCGCUAGGGAAGAUAAUGACGGUACCUAGUAAAGAAGCCCCGGCUAACUCCGUGCCAGCAGCCGCGGUAAU
rnacentral:rRNA from 1 species